GAUGAACGCUAGCGGCAGGCCUAACACAUGCAAGUCGAGGGGGAAGUUACUUUCGGGUAACUGAGACCGGCGUACGGGUGCGUAACGCGUAUACAAUCUGCCUUUCACUGGGGGAUAGCCCGAAGAAAUUUGGAUUAAUACCCCAUAGUAUAGUAGUGUGGCAUCACACAACUAUUAAAGCUUAGGUGGUGAAAGAUGAGUAUGCGUUCUAUUAGCUAGUUGGAGAGGUAACGGCUCCCCAAGGCUAUGAUAGAUAGGGGUUCUGAGAGGGAUGUCCCCCACACUGGUACUGAGAUACGGACCAGACUCCUACGGGAGGCAGCAGUGAGGAAUAUUGGACAAUGGUCGGAAGACUGAUCCUGCCAUGCCGCGUGCAGGAUGAAGGUCUUAUGGAUUGUAAACUGCUUUUGUAAGGGAACAAUAAGGACUACGUGUAGUUUGAUGACGGUACCUUAUGAAUAAGCAUCGGCUAACUCCGUG
rnacentral:rRNA from 1 species